AACGAAACGCUGGCGGCAUGCCUAAACACAUGCAAGUCGAAACGAGACCUUCGGGUCUAGUGGCGCACGGGUGCGUAACGCGUGGGAAUCUGCCCUUAGGUACGGAAAUAAACUCAGGGAAACUUGUGCUAAUACCGUAUGAUGUCGAGAGACCAAAGAUUUAUCGCCUAGGGAUGAGCCCGCGUAGGAUUAGCUAGUUGGUGGGGUAAAGGCCUACCAAGGCUACGAUCCUUAGCUGGUCUGAGAGGAUGAUCAGCCACACUGGGACUGAGACACGGCCCAGACUCCUACGGGAGGCAGCAGUGGGGAAUAUUGGACGAUGGGCGAAAGCCUGAUCCAGC
rnacentral:rRNA from 1 species